rnacentral:rRNA from 1 species
UACGGGGGGGGUAAGCGUUGUUCGGAAUUACUGGGCGUAAAGGGCUCGUAGGCGGCCAACUAAGUCACACGUGAAAUCCCCAGGCUUAACCUGGGAACUGCGUGUGAUACUGGAUGGCUUGAAUUCGGGAGAGGGAUGCAGAAUUCCAGGUGUAGCGGUGAAAUGCGUAGAUAUCCGGAGGAACACCGGUGGCGAAGGCGGCUUCCUGGACCGACACUGACGCUGAGGCGCGAAAGCUAGGGGAGCAAACGGG